CUUGGUCAGUAGAGGAGUGGUGUGUGUAGGGCAGGUGGGGAGAGAGAGAGGUGAGUCAGAGGAGGAGUGGUGUGUGUAGGGCAGGUGGGGAGAGAGAGAGGUGAGUCAGAGGAGGAGUGGUGUGUGUAGGACAGGUGGGGAGAGAGAGAGGUGAGUCAGAGGAGGAGUGGUGUGUGUAGGGCAGGUGGGGAGAGAGAGAGGUGAGUCAGAGGAGGAGUGGUGUGUGUGGGACAGGUGGGGAGAGAGAGAGGUGAGUCAGAGGAGGAGUGGUGUCUGUAGGGCAGGUGGGGAGAGAGAGAGGUGAGUCAGAGGAGGAGUGGUGUGUGUAGGGCAGGUGGGGAGAGAGAGAGGUGAGUCAGAGGAGGAGUGGUGUCUGUAGGGCAGGUGGGGAGAGAGAGAGGUGAGUCAGAGGAGGAGAGAUGUGUGCCCCUCCCUCUCCGGAGAUGCUGGAGAACUCUUUGAGAGGGGGGUGUGUGGAUGGGUGAGGAGGGAGGGGUGUGUGUGUGUAGUCAGAUAGAGGAGUGUGUGUGUAGU